CAUGUCAUGUGGGUAACAUGCUCCCGGCGUCGUGAAUAAAGCUGCAGUCUCACACCAGUUGUCUUGGAUUAAUUUUGACCACAUUAAUGGCGACGAGGAUGGGAUUACCUAUCUAUGAGGCACAGUGAGGAGGACCAAAGGCGCAGGACCCCAACCAUGUCGACUGGAGGAAGAUCUCUUUGUGAUCUUGGGAGAAGGCCGUCAUCGGCAACAAACACUGCUUUGCGGCACCCAGCCUGGCCAGAGGGAAUCCUCCUGUGUUUCGGAUACGGUAACGACCAUAUUCGGUGGUCACAGACAACGUGGUGGUGGCCUCAGCCCUUCCAAAAAACUUCCAGGACACACCCAGCCAAGCCAUGCUCCUGGAGACUCAUCAAAGAUUUGUAAAGGACACUGGAACCUCAUUAAGUGUUCUUAGCGACACCUACAGCCAUGAGGAUUGCGGAUAGAGACUCUUGGGUCCAUUUGUCACACUGUAGAGUGGUGAAGAAUCCGGAACAAUACAUGGAUUGAACUGAGUAUCAUAACCAACACGUGGUUGCACGAGAGGAUUGACAAACAUUUUUUGCAAUAGGCUGAAGAAUACAUAUUUGAAGAGGAUUAAUAAAAUAUCACUAGCAUCUUAUAAGAAUAUUCUUUCUCAGUUUAGCUAGAUAAAUGUUACAAGUUUGUUGUUUUGGUUUAUUUUUAUUUUUGACAGUAACCUGAGGAGGGACUAAACCACCCAAGUCAGCUCUGCUGUUGAAGACUAGGAUUAGGUUUUAUUUUGGGUUUGAAUAACUGAGAAGACGAGAUGUUGGUGAUUGUUUUGCUUAUUAUUCAUCUAAGGGUUAUAACUUUCUCCCUUAAGGAUGAAGUGUGUGGUAACAAUAAAGUAUGUGAGUUAGC